UACGUAGGCAGCAAGCGUUGUUCGGAGUUACUGGGCGUAAAGGGUGUGUAGGCGGUUCUUUAAGUUUGCUGUGAAAUCUCCCGGCUUAACCGGGAGGGUGCGGUGAAUACUGAGGGACUAGAGUACGGGAGAGGAAAGUGGAAUUCCUGGUGUAGCGGUGAAAUGCGCAGAUAUCAGGAAGAACACCCGUGGCGAAGGCGGUUCUCUGGGACGGUACUGACGCUGAGACGCGAAAGCGUGGGGAGCGAACAGG
rnacentral:rRNA from 1 species